AAAAAAUUAGUUUAAAAAAAACUUUAGUAUGUCAAACUAAAAAUAUUAAUUAUUUAAUAUUUUUUA
rnacentral:tRNA from 1 species